CAAUAGCGUAUAUUUAAGUUGUUGCAGUUAAAAAGCUCGUAGUUGGAUUUCGGGCGGGUGACGGCGGUCCGCCCCUGGUGUGCACUGCCGGCAUCCGCCUUUCUGUCGGGGACGGGCUCCUGGGCUUCAUUGCUUGGGACUCGGGUUCGACGUGGUUACUUUGAGUAAAUUAGAGUGUUCAAAGCAGGCGAUCGCCCUGAAUACAUUAGCAUGGAAUAGCACGAUAGGACUCUGGCCUAUUUUGCUGGUCUGUAGGACCGGAGUAAUGAUUAAGAGGGACAGUCGGGGGCAUUCGUAUUUCAUUGUCAGAGGUGAAAUUCUUGGAUUUAUGAAAGACGAACUUCUGCGAAAGCAUUUGCCAAGGAUGUUUUCAUUGA
rnacentral:rRNA from 1 species